UACGGAGGGUGCAAGCGUUAUCCGGAUUCACUGGGUUUAAAGGGUGCGUAGGUGGGCUUGUAAGUCAGUGGUGAAAUCUCCAGGCUUAACCUGGAAACUGCCAUUGAUACUAUAGGUCUUGAAUCUCGCGUAGGUAAGCGGAAUAUGUCAUGUAGCGGUGAAAUGCUUAGAUAUGACAUAGAACACCAAUUGCGAAGGCAGCUUACUUCACGAGUAUUGACACUGAUGCACGAAAGCGUGGGGAGCAAACAGG
rnacentral:rRNA from 1 species